GCGACACAAAUUGCGUUCCAAUUCCGUUAUCGUCGACACAACGCUACACAUCUGUACUCAGUCGAGGGCUGUAUACAUUAUAUCUU